UACGUAGGGACCAAGCGUUGUUCGGAUUUACUGGGCGUAAAGGGCGCGUAGGCGGCCUGAUAAGUAGGGGGUGAAAUCCUGCGGCUUAACCGCAGGGCUGCCUUCUAAACUGUCAGGCUAGAGCACAGUAGAGGCAGGUGGAAUUCCCGGUGUAGCGGUGGAAUGCGUAGAGAUCGGGAAGAACAUCAGUGGCGAAGGCGGCCUGCUGGGCUGUUGCUGACGCUGAGGCGCGACAGCGUGGGGAGCAAACAGG
rnacentral:rRNA from 1 species